GGGGGCGUUAUUGGUUUCGACGGGGAGCAUUGGUCAAAAUGUAAAGCAUGUGGUGGGUUCCACACCUAAACAGGGACACGCGAAAAUAAACGCAAACGAAAACAAUGUAGUUCGUAUGAACAACGCAAGCCUUGCUUGUGCUGCCUAACGCGAACAAAAACUCUAAGUCAAUAUAAGUUUUGACUUGCCCGAUUGAAAAAUUCGCCAGUUUUCAUUAAGGGUUCAAACACGGCGCUCUGUAAAUAGAUGAAGUCUUAAGUCUAUUUAUAAACAAAAAGACUAGUUAUUAAUGGAUUUUGUUUAUGUAGAGAUUAAUAAUGAAAAUUUAACAUAAACUAAACAUGUAGAAAAGUUUUGAACAAGUUUUUCGGAAGCGGGUUCAAUUCCCGCCGUCUCCACCA
rnacentral:tmRNA from 1 species